AUUUGACGUUAGCUGCAGAAGAAGCACCGGCUAACUCCGUGCCAGCAGCCGCGGUAAUACGGAGGGUGCGAGCGUUAAUCGGAAUUACUGGGCGUAAAGCGCAUGCAGGUGGUUUGUUAAGUCAGAUGUGAAAGCCCGGGGCUCAACCUCGGAAUUGCAUUUGAAACUGGCAAACUAGAGUACUGUAGAGGGGGUAGAAUUUCAGGUGUAGCGGUGAAAUGCGUAGAGAUCUGAAGGAAUACCGGUGGCGAAGGCGGCCCCCUGGACAGAUACUGACACUCAGAUGCGAAAGCGUGGGGAGCAAACAGGAUUAGAUACCCUGGUAG
rnacentral:rRNA from 1 species